UACGUAGGGCGCAAGCGUUUGUCCGGAAUUAUUGGGCGUAAAGAGCUCGUAGGCGGUUUGUCGCGUCUGCCGUGAAAGCCAGGGGCUUAACCCUUGGUCUGCGGUGGAUACGGGCAGGCUGGAGGCAGGUAGGGGAGAACGGAAUUCCCGGUGUAGCGGUGAAAUGCGCAGAUAUCGGGAGGAACACCGGUGGCGAAGGCGGUUCUCUGGGCCUGUACUGACGCUGAGGAGCGAAAGCGUGGGGAGCGAACGGGAUUAGAACCGUAC
rnacentral:rRNA from 1 species